AGAGUUUGAUCCUGGCUCAGGACGAACGCUGGCGGCGCGCCUAACACAUGCAAGUCGAACGAGCGAGAGAGAGCUUGCUUUCUCGAGCGAGUGGCGAACGGGUGAGUAACGCGUGAGGAACCUGCCUCAAAGAGGGGGACAACAGUUGGAAACGACUGCUAAUACCGCAUAAGCCCACGACCCGGCAUCGGGUAGAGGGAAAAGGAGCAAUCCGCUUUGAGAUGGCCUCGCGUCCGAUUAGCUAGUUGGUGAGGUAACGGCCACCAAGGCGACGAUCGGUAGCCGGACUGGAGAGGUUGAACGGCCACAUUGGGACUGAGACACGGCCCAGAACUCCGUACGGAGGCA
rnacentral:rRNA from 1 species